GGUGCGUAGGCGGUGCUCUAAGUCUGUUGUGAAAUCUCCCGGCUUAACUGGGAGGGUGCGGCGGAAACUGGAGUGCUUGAGGGUGGGAGAGGUAAGCGGAAUUCCUGGUGUAGCGGUGAAAUGCGUAGAUAUCAGGAGGAACACCUGUGGUGUAGACAGCUUACUGGACCACUUCUGACGCUGAGGCGCGAAAGCGUGGUAGCAAACA
rnacentral:rRNA from 1 species